rnacentral:rRNA from 1 species
CCUACGGGAGGCAGCAGUGAGGAAUAUUGGUCAAUGGACGAGAGUCUGAACCAGCCAAGUAGCGUGAAGGAUGACUGCCCUAUGGGUUGUAAACUUCUUUUAUAUGGGAAUAAAACGUUCCACGUGUGGGAUUUUGUAUGUACCCUAUGAAUAAGGAUCGGCUAACUCCGUGCCAGCAGCCGCGGUAAUACGGAGGAUCCGAGCGUUAUCCGGAUUUAUUGGGUUUAAAGGGAGCGUCGGUGGAUUGUUAAGUCAGUUGUGAAAGUUUGCGGCUCAACCGUAAAAUUGCAGUUGAAACUGGCAGGCUUGAGUACAGUAGAGGUGGGCGGAAUUCGUGGUGUAGCGGUGAAAUGCUUAGAUAUCACGAAGAACGCCGAUUGCGAAGGCAGCUCACUGGACUGCAACUGACACUGAGGCUCGAAAGUGUGGGUAUCAAACAGGAUUAGAUACCCCAGUAGUC